CAGAAACUACAAAGGAAUUCGACGGGACCCCGGCACAAGCAGCGGAGCAUGUGGUUUAAUUCGAAGCAACGCGAAGAACCUUACCAGAUCUUGACAAUCCAAUUCGACCUAUCUUUUAAUCGAGAUUUUUGCCUUCGGGUACAAUUGAGACAGGUGGUGCAUGGUUGUCGUCAGCUCGUGUCGUGAGAUGUUGGGUUAAGUCCCGCAACGAGCGCAACCCCUAUCAUUAGUUGCCAUCAGGUCAAGCUGGGGACUCUAAUGAAACUGCCUACGCAAGUAGUGAGGAAGGUGGGGAUGACGUCAAAUCAGCACGGCCCUUACGUCCAGGGCUACACACGUGCUACAAUGGCCGGUACAAAGGGCAGCUACCUGGUGACAGGAUGCUAAUCUCAAAAGCCGGUCUCAGUUCGGAUCGGAGUCUGCAACCCGACUCCGUGAAGCUCCGGAAUCGCUAGUAAUCGCGCAUCAGCCAUGGCGCGGUGAAUACGUUCCCGGGCCUU
rnacentral:rRNA from 1 species